rnacentral:rRNA from 1 species
CUGGCACGAGGCUUGCGUGUACGUCGCAUUAUGGUUCGAUUCCGGAGAGGGAGCCUGAGAAACGGCUACCACAUCUAAGGAAGGCAGCAGGCGCGCAAAUUACCCAAUCCUAAUACAGGGAGGUAGUGACAAGAAAUAACAAUACAGAACCUUACGGUUUUGUAAUUGGAAUGAGUUAAGUAUAAACCCCUUAACAAGUAUCAAUUGGAGGGCAAGUCUGGUGCCAGCAGCCGCGGUAAUUCCAGCUCCAAUAGCGUAUAUUAAAGUUGUUGCAGUUAAAAAGCUCGUAGUUAAUCUUCUGUUAAUUUUUAUAUAUAAUAUCACGAUAUUUAUAUAAUAUUAACAUAAUUCAUAUUACUUUUUAGUAUAUGAAACUUUACUUUGAGAAAAUUAGAGUGCUUAAAGCAGGCUAUUGCCUUGAAUACUCCAGCAUGGAAUAAUAUUAAGGAUUUUUAUUCUUCUUAUUGGUUCUAGAAUAAAAAUGAUGAUUAAUAGGGACAGUUGGGGGCAUUUGUAUUUAACAGUCAGAGGAAA